CCGCCAGCGGCUCCGACUCCAUCGCGUCCUCUUCCAGUCUAGUGCUUUUUUCCAGAUCUCGAUCCCAAACUCCCUCCUGCCAGAAUCUGGACCCGAAUCCACCCAUUGCCCGUUUUCCGCUGCCGCUGGAGAGAAUCUCUGAGGUCCCCAGGAGAGCCUGCCUGCACGGAAGAGACGCCUCCUCGGGAAAUUUGUGCACAGAGAUAACACAGGGGAUAUGCCAUAUGAAGAUGAAGGCAGAAUUCUACAAGCCCAGGGAUGCCAAAGAUUGCCAGCAAACCACCAGAAGCUAGGAGAGAAGUGUGGAUUAGAUUCUUCCUCACAGCCCUCAGAAGGAUCCAGCCCUGCCAAGAACUUGAUCUCAGACUUCUAGUCUCCAGAACUGUGAGACAGUGCAUUUUGUUUUGUAAGUCAGCCAUAUGGUUUGUGGCACUUUUUUAUGGCAGCCCUAGGAGAUGAAGACAAUAUGCAACAUGGUAUGUCCAUUAUAGGACACUGUGGGCCAUAAAUGUGUUCUUUGGCCUGAAGAAAUAAAACUUGGUGGUCC
rnacentral:lncRNA from 1 species